UACCAGCACCCCGAGCGGUCGGGACGUUUAUUGGGCCUAAAGCAUCCGUAGCCGGUUCUACAAGUCUUCCGUUAAAUCCAGCUGCUUAACAGAUGGGCUGCGGAAGAUACUAUGGAGCUAGGAGGCGGGAGAGGCAAGCGGUACUCGAUGGGUAGGGGUAAAAUCCGUUGAUCCGUUGAAGACCACCAGUGGCGAAGGCGGCUUGCCAGAACGCACUCGACGGUGAGGGAUGAAAGCUGGGGGAGCAAACCGG
rnacentral:rRNA from 1 species